CUAGAAUUAACACCCAAGCUAUUUCUCUUCAAAUUACUCUUAGCCAAUUAGCAGCCAAGACUUUCUUUGCCAGAUCAUGUGUCUUGAGUCAGUUUGGAAAACAUGUGCAUCAAACAUUUCCUUCCUUCCUCCCAUCUUUGAUACCUUCCUUCCUUCUUCUCCACCGUGAUAGGUGCUGUGAAUCUGGUGGAAAAGAAGAGACAUGGAGAGCAACUGUCACAGCGCCGUGCGUUCUAUGCCAUCAUCUUAAAGGUGAAGAACUGAAGAUAUAAGGGGAUUGAAGAAGAACAAGUCACAAUCCAAAUCAGGAGCAGAAGCAAUCACAUUGAUUAAGAUGAAUUCGUCAGAGCCAACAUCAGUGAACUCGACUUGGGUUGUUCAUGGAGUACCAUUCAUUUAACUUUGGCUUUUCUUUUCUUCCCCUCACCCACCACCAGAGAUGAUACAUUUAAUUUGAAAAGGCAUAUAUGGAUGUAAAUAUAUUGAGGA